GUCUAGGGCCAUGCUGCUUUGAAUGUGCCCAGUCUCAUCUAAUCUUAGAAGCCAAGCAGGGCUGGAUCUGGUUAGUACUUGGAUGAGAGAGUAUGAAAACAGAAGGAGUGUGAAAUGUUCAGAUGGACCUUGACU
rnacentral:rRNA from 1 species